rnacentral:rRNA from 1 species
UACAGAGGUCUCAAGCGUUGUUCGGAUUCAUUGGGCGUAAAGGGUGCGUAGGUGGCGCCAUAGGUCAGGUGUGAAAUCUCGGGGCUCAACCCCGAAACUGCACUUGAUACUGUGGUGCUUGAGUACUGGAGAGGAGAUUGGAAUUUACGGUGUAGCAGUGAAAUGCGUAGAUAUCGUAAGGAAGACCAGUGGCGAAGGCGAAUCUCUGGACAGUUACUGACACUGAGGCACGAAGGCCAGGGGAGCAAACGGG